GAAGAUGGCAGCCCUGUUGGUGACAGUUGAGAUGGAGUUUAAAUGAAGUACCACUUCAGGCUUGUUUGGAGGUGUUUUUGGAUCCAGCUUCCUGGGUAAAUAUUCACCACCUGGAGUAUACAGAUGGAGGAAUCUUGGACCCAGAUGAUGUGCUGGCAGAUGUUGUGGAAGACAAAGAUAAGCUGAUUGCCGUUUAUGACGAACAAGAAGCUCCCCGUAAGACUGAUGGCACCAAUGGGAAUUUGAAAGACAGAAAUAGCCCAGACUCCUUUGAGACAGAGGUAGCGACUCAACUGGCUGCAUUUCAGCCCAUUGGUGAGAUUGAAGUGACUCCUUCUGCCCUAAAACUGGGCACACCGCUUCUGGUACGGAGGAGCAGUGAUCCAGCUUUGGGUGCACCUGAUGACUUCCCAAGUGCUUCUCAUCCCAGUGACUAUGGCCUCAAGCAUGUCGUGGCAGUAGGUGUCAUGUGACUCACCUCUUGCUUAAGACCGAAACGUUUCUUUCCUGUUGGAGUAUAAUAGUUUUAUAAGCUCCAUAUGUAUUUGGAUCUAUAACCAAAUGCACCACACUUAUUUUCUGUAAAGUAGAGAAUUUCCUCUGGAAAAAUAGUUUAGGUGAUACAAUCAAUUAACAGUGGUUCUAUAAGAGAUUUACAUAAAGCUUAGUGGUGUCAUAAGGCAUUGGAAUAUGAACUGAACUUUCAGCAGUUAUUUAUUUGUUCAGUAUCAUGUUUUGCAGUUUGUCAUUGUUUCUUUGCCCUUGCACCCUUUUUCACUUGUCUUGUUUUCUAAGGGCAUUUCUGUCAUCUUUGGUACCCUGCUGCUAUCCUACAUGGUCUCUGUCUCACUUCUCUGUUUGACCUGACUCUUCCCUUUCGAGGACAAAUUUGUUUUCAAUAUAGUUAUUCCUAAGUUCUAUUGCAAGGCCACAAUUAGUGAAAAUGCAGUAACUCUUAAUUAUAUGUUUUUGCAGACUGUCUUUAAUCUUCUUAAAGUGAUGCUGUCUUAGUCACACUUGGGCCACAUGUUCUACUUUGCAGUUUUAAGACCUGAAGCUUUGUGUGUAGGGAAAGUGUUCCUACAUUUCUUAUAAACCAAUGAAAUUCUUCAGAAUCUCUGAAUGUCAGCUGGGACAUGUAAGUGCCUUGAGCUGAAUAAAGCUAUUUUUCAGAUUUUGCCCAGAAAUCUCUGGUGGGUCUAGUUCUGCUCUUCUUUAGACCACAUGAAUGCUGGCUUAAAUGGUGACUCUGCUUUCAUCUGCUUGUAAUAUUUAUGCCUUUUCCCCUUUAGAUUCUCUGCAUAAUGUUGCAGUUCACUCCCUGUCCCCAGCUGUGCAAAACAAUAUAUUGCUGGUUUGUUUCAAAACAAAGCAGCACUCAGAAACCCUGAGUCUUUGUUUGGUGCAGGAGGGAUGUUGCAGACUAGAUCACAACUACUUUAGAGCAAUGUUCCACAAAAGGCUGUGCUGGCACAUUAGGGAGUGGGGGGAGAGAGCUGGGGUUCAGUGACACAUCCUGGAGAUGGGAACCUUUCACCUGAAGGUGUAUUUAAGACCAAACUUCCAAUGAAGUUCAUGUGAAUAAAGGAAGUAAAUAGUCAGUCGACUUGCAUGCAGAUGAUGUUCUAUGAAUCUCACUUCACCACUGCAAUUCUGAAGGCCAACACAGGGUUUUAGUUGACUGUUCAUUGUUUCUCUUUGCAUGGUCAAAUGCAUGUGCAUUUAAGUAAUUUGUGUGCACCUUAUUUUACAAUGGCUUGUGUUAUUUGCUAAGUGGUGCAAUUUUAAAAGUCUCAGUAGCUCUCCAAGUAUAUUUUGAUGUUACAGGGGGCUGAACUGGUCAAAGUUACAUAUCAUUUGUCAGACCUGUUUGAGCUGAGAGGUUUUUCUUGAUGUUUGUUGCAAGUAUUUACUUAUUAAUGAAAUACUGAGUCUGAUAAAUGAAAGUACAAAGAAGAAUUCUUGGUUAACAGUGCAGAUCUUACACUCUUGGCAAAGCUGAGAAACAUAUAAAGUGAUUAUGUCAGUAUGUAACACUGAACCCCAGUAUUUUAUAACUGUGAACAUGGCAAAAAAAGGUGGAAAAAUAAGCAAAAUCAGUUUCAUUCCAGGGUGUGUUUUGAAUGCUUUAUAGACCAUCAAGAAAAAAAAAAUAGCAUUUUGUUGAGUUGAGUUUUUUAACGUAAUUUUAGUGGUGACAAGUGCAUUUUAUGCUAUUACAUGAGGAUUGCAGUAAUACUUAGAGGUUAAAACCUCACCAUGCUUCACUGACUUGCAUCAGUACAAAAGAGUCCUCUAGCCUAAAGGAAUUAUCUGUGCUAAAAUACAGAGCAUCCCUCUGUCAGCUGUAGGGGUGACAGUCAAAGCUGGAAAAGUAAUAGGGGUGGAGAAGGAUUUUUUAAAAAAUAUAUCAUGUAAAGUGGAGGUGGGGGAGGCCCUGAAAGUUGAAAGUUGUGCUUUGGUGCUGUUCUGGUAUUUUUGUGAAAGCAAAAAUCUAUUACAGCAAAAUUACAUUACACUAACUCUUAUUUUUGCAACACUACCAUUAAUAAAACUCUCAUCAUCAAUCAUACUGAAAUAUGCUUUGGAAUAAUGUUCUGGGAAACACAGAAAGCUUAAAUAACAUAGGUUAAAUUAGGUACAGAUUGUUUUAAAACA